UAGAUCCUCCUCCCUGUUACAUAUCCCCAUAUGCACUUUACUGCUGUCCUGCACUUAUGUACGCACCUUAAAUAACAGCACUUGAAAUAUAUCUUCAUCAUAUUCUGCACUCUACACAUCUUCGCCUGAUUGACUAACCAUCUCAGGACAACCAUCAUCUUUGGAAGCAGUGGUGAUGUCACUCCCUGUAUAGAGUGGCCAGAUCCCUGCUUGGGCUUAUCUCAGCCCAUUCAUCAUGUGUGACAGCUCAAGGCAUAGUCCAUUAGCCUGAAAGCUCUGAGACAUAGAAGCAAAUUACCUGCCUUUGAUCCUAGCUGGUUCACCAGAACCUGAGAAGUGUAAAAGGGACAGCCACAGCAGAGAGAGGAGAGGGCAUCAUUUUAGGCUGAAUGGAUUAUAGGCCGCACUUCAUGCCUGCAAAGGGUUUUAGCUGCCAGAACCAUACAGAACCCCCACAAGUGACCCCAUUUUGGAAACUACACCCCCUAAAGUAUUCAUCUAGACCAAAAGUGAGUACUUUGAUUCCUUUUUGUGUGGCUGGAAUGGAUACAAAGUCAGUGAAAAAAAUUUAAUUUUCUUUUUUUUCCACAAAUGCAUUAUUUGUGGGACAUAUUUUUUGUACAUUGCAUCUGAAAAGUAGAAAAUGCACCCCAUAUUUUAUUACGCUGUUCGUCCCAUGUUCGGUAAUACCCCCGCUUAGACCAUAUUUGGUUGCAUGGCCAGGAGCACCAUUUGGCUUUCAGGAUAUCAUUAUACAAAUUAUUCUGCACUUAGUGGAAAUUUUGUGCUUCCCUUAACAUAAAUACUAUAUUUUUAUAAGAUUUUAAUGUAUAUCAAUAACAUUAUGUAUAUUUUAUAUUCGUAACAAGUGUCUCCCUUCUCGUUCUUUUUGGAUAUAAUGGUCUUUUCUGGACCAUUGUCACUUGAAACCAGACUCACCAUACAAUGUUACGGACAGUCCAGAUCUGUGAAACAUGUCAAUGGCUGGAAGAACUGAUCAAUUAUAAUGGGCAUUUUACUGGUAAAACAUCCGUAUUACUAAAGCGUAUGCACUGACUGGAGUCUGGUAGCGCCCUGUACAGUAUAGGGCAUGUCUGGGCAUGGGCAUGCUGGGAGUUGUAGUUUUGCAACAUCUGAAGGGCAACAGUUUAGAGACCACUGUAUAGUGGUCUCAAACUGUAGCCCUCCAAAUGUUGCUAGACAACUCACCAGCUUCCGUAAGAUCCAGGAAGCCAGCCGCGCGACAUCGCCGCCCGCAGCCUCCGCUGAUGGGUAAGUGGACUUCGGCACCGGUCC